UACGUAGGGUGCAAGCGUUGUCCGGAAUUAUUGGCGUAAAGAGCUCGUAGGCGGUUUGUCGCGUCUGCUGUGAAAACCCGAGGCUCAACCUCGGGCCUGCAGUGGGUACGGGCAGACUAGAGUGCGGUAGGGGAGAUUGGAAUUCCUGGUGUAGCGGUGGAAUGCGCAGAUAUCAGGAGGAACACCAAUGGCGAAGGCAGAUCUCUGGGCCGUAACUGACGCUGAGGAGCGAAAGCAUGGGGGAGCGAACAGG
rnacentral:rRNA from 1 species